AGAGAGAGAAAAAAAAAUUCAUAAUCUAGGGCCUUGUUUGCUCCAUAGGGAGCGAACAAAGGAAGUACGUCAAAUUGUCAAGUUGGUUGUAAAGAAGUGUAAAGUCAAGGGAACUUGCAAUUUUCUUUGAUCACAACUUCUUCAAUAUGGAGUAAUUAACUUACUGGGAGAGGGGGAGGGGGUUUCAAUAGGUGUAACUUCCUCAGGGAAGUAGAAAAACAUUACCAAAAUUAACCUCAACAUAAUUUCCUAAAAAUAAUCAAUUAAAGAUAUUAAUGUUAAUGAGUUAAUGAUACUAUAGCAUUUUAU
rnacentral:misc_RNA from 1 species